GGCCUGGAGGCCGGGCCGGGCGCCCGCCUCGCUUCGCGCCGCCGAUGGUGCCUGGCGCCCCUGAGCCCAGAGUUUCAUCCAGCCGUUCUUCUAGGGGGUCUGCUGAGGACCAUUCCUUAGUGACCUUCACCAGGGACCUGCUCCUCGGCUUCUUUUCUGUUUUCCUUCAGCAGUGCCACUACUUUCUGGCUGCCAUAGUUCCAGUGUCCACACUCAUGGCCAGCCCUGCACAGAUCCUCCUGCAGCCUUCCGCUUUCUUCCUCCCGAGCUGUACAGCUUGCCCGGCACACAAGGCCAGGUCCUACCGCCUCACCAUGCAAGGCUGCUGUGACUGCCAGCGAUCCUGCAAGACCAGAGAAGGGGACGGCGUUCAGGGAUGCUUUCUCCUGGAAGCAGCUCCUCCCUCAAGCCCCAGCUGGGACCCUUUAUUCCUACUUCUGAGUCCCUG
rnacentral:lncRNA from 1 species